GAUCAUGGCUCAGGAUGAACGCUAGCUACAGGCUUAACACAUGCAAGUCGAGGGGCAGCAUGAACUUAGCUUGCUAAGUUUGAUGGCGACCGGCGCACGGGUGAGCAACACGUAUCCAACCUGCCGAUGACUCGGGGAUAGCCUUUCGAAAGAAAGAUUAAUACCCGAUGGCAUAGUUCUUCCGCAUGGUAGAACUAUUAAAGAAUUUCGGUCAUCGAUGGGAUGCGUCCU
rnacentral:rRNA from 1 species